CAGGUAUCUGACCACAUGCACCUACAUAAGUGUACUUAGCUCCCGCUGCAGAAGCAGAUGAAAAUUGAAGGUACUACAUAAGGCCCUUUUCAAUAACUGACUCAGGGUAUCUGCGUUCAAAGAGAUGUGAGAGAGGAGAAGAACAAGGAUCUCUCUGCAAUACAUUUAUCUUUUUGUUGACCUUCGGUCUGGUUUCAUGUUGUGUCACAGAACCAGAGUUGUACAUAUUGCACGACAGUACGCCAACCUAUGAAGAACCACAUCAGUAAUUGCAGUAACUUUGGACUGAUAACAUAUUGAACCAUGAACAUUCAGAUCUGCAUUACUCAUUACAUAAAAACAUUCUCAAAAGUACCACAAAGAUUGUUAAAUUUUGUAAAGCUGCUAAAAAAGCAACAUUCAAAGGGACAGUGACCAAAUGUCCAUUCUUUUGGUAUUGUCCAGACUAAACUGACAAAAAGUCGCUUGGUACACAGGGGAACAUUGAGUCAGCUACACCACCCUGCCUUGUGACAAAUUAACAGAACUACUACACCCAACAUAACAUUCAUUACAGAUGCACCCUCCCAAAAGAGGUGUGAAUAACGUAUAUACAGGUUAGCUGGCUCCUACAACCUUUGGGACUUUGGACUUGCCACUGCUUUGAAGUAAAUACUGCAUAUUCUGGCUUUUUCCCCCUGCUUAACCUCUCUAAAAUAUUUAAAAAAUUUGCAAUUUAUGGAUCCCAUUCAUGUUAAUGGGAUCUAUCGGGACCCAGUGAUGUCUGUUUUUCUCCAAGCCACUGAGAGUCUGGACUACACACAAAAAAUAAAAAAUAAAAAAUGGACCCUGAAAGAGACAAGAGACAGCUCAACGUUCUAACUUCCAUGUAAGAGCUCCCUUAGGCUGGAUUCACACUACAGAAUUUCUGAGUGGAAAUUCCAGUGCAGCAGCAUCUCCAUGCUGUCAAUAGGAUUCCGCUGCACAAUGCACACAACAGAAUUUCAGCUGCAGA